rnacentral:rRNA from 1 species
AUGGCGAGAGGUAGUAGCCGCCCAGAGAACUUUGGUGUGACAAAACCUCGGUCAUACGCUUACCCGACGGAGCCCGAAAUCCACAACACCUGCAACCUAUUGGAGGUUCUAGACCAACACCAUCCGUGCAAGAGCGCGGAGGAGCGUUUCCUGCAAUCAAGUGCCUUGGAUAAACUGAAUAAAAUUGUUCAAGAUUGGGUGAAAGAGUUAACUCCCAGGGGGAUCAAGGAGGUCAAUGCGAUUUUUUUCGCUUUUGGCUCAUACUUUCUACAGGUGGAUGAAUUUGCUGAUCCGAUUGACACUAUAUGCAUAGGCCCGAGUUUUGUAGAUCAUGAGCAUGGAUUUUUCAAGAUAUUUCAUGAUAAAAUGUGUCAAAUGAAUGAAGUGACCCGAUUGAAGUCUGUUCGUAAUACAAAUGUGCCUUUUAUGGAGUUUAAGCUGGAUGGUGUCCCUAUUAAAAUUGUCUAUGCUAGUCUUCCUUACUCAGUAAUCCCAUUUAACUUUGAUCUGCAUCAAGCAAAUGUGCUUAGCAUGGAUGACGUGUCACGGAAUAGUUUUGAUGCAUGUAGAGUGACUAACGAAAUAUAUAGGCUGGUCCCGUGUAAUAAGACUUUUACGAUCGCAUUAAGAACUGUGAAAAUUUGGGCUAAAUCAAGAGGUCUUCUAUCCAAUGUUAUUGGUUUUCUUGGAGACUGCGAUUGGGCAAUACUGGUUGGACGUAUCUGCCAAGCACAUCCAUUUGCCACGCUCAGCACUAUUGUUUUUGAGUUUUUCAGCAUAUUCUCUGUGUGGUUUUGGCCAAACCCGGUUAUGCUCGUGGACCCACGUUCGGAUCCACAUCGUCUUCCUGUAUGGGAUCCUCAUACAAAUAGGAAUGAUAUUAUGCCAAUAAUCAGUCCAGUAUUCCCAUGCAAAAAUAUAAGAGCUGAUGCCUCCGCGAGCACGCUUCGGGAUAUGAUAUAUCAUUUUAAGUGUGGUUAUGAGCAGUGUAAACUAAUAAAGGUGAAUAACAACUGGAGGGAUCUAUUUAUGCCGUAUAAAUUCUUUGAGGAAUAUAUUCGAUACGUGCAUAUUGAUCUUACGGCGGAUACCGAACAAAAACUUGAGCUUUGGAAGAAAAUUGGAGAAUCUGAAUUGCUGGUGCUGAUUUCAAAGAUUGAAGCGGGCAGGGGACAACUGAUCUGCCAUAUCUGUCCGACGGAGCACUUGAGUAGCGACUCUUGUUCGUUUUUCAUUGGCCUGUCAACUAAAAAACUGAUAGUGGGCCGUGCAAUUCCCUAA